rnacentral:rRNA from 1 species
CGGAGCUGAAAUCAGUCGAAGAUACCAGCUGGCUGCAACUGUUUAUUAAAAACACAGCACUGUGCAAACACGAAAGUGGACGUAUACGGUGUGACGCCUGCCCGGUGCCGGAAGGUUAAUUGAUGGGGUUAGCGGCAACGCGAAGCUCUUGAUCGAAGCCCCGGUAAACGGCGGCCGUAACUAUAACGGUCCUAAGGUAGCGAAAUUCCUUGUCGGGUAAGUUCCGACCUGCACGAAUGGCGUAAUGAUGGCCAGGCUGUCUCCACCCGAGACUCAGUGAAAUUGAACUCGCUGUGAAGAUGCAGUGUACCCGCGGCAAGACGGAAAGACCCCGUGAACCUUUACUAUAGCUUGACACUGAACACUGGUCCUUGAUGUGUAGGAUAGGUGGGAGGCUUUGAAGCGUGGACGCCAGUCUGCGUGGAGCCAUCCUUGAAAUACCACCCUUUAAUGGCUGGUGUUCUAACGUAGACCCGUAAUCCGGGUUGCGGACAGUGUCUGGUGGGUAGUUUGACUGGGGCGGUCUCCUCCCAAAGAGUAACGGAGGAGCACGAAGGUUGGCUAAUCCUGGUCGGACAUCAGGAGGUUAGUGCAAUGGCAUAAGCCAGCUUGACUGCGAGCGUGACGGCGCGAGCAGGUGCGAAAGCAGGUCAUAGUGAUCCGGUGGUUCUGAAUGGAAGGGCCAUCGCUCAACGGAUAAAAGGUACUCCGGGGAUAACAGGCUGAUACCGCCCAAGAGUUCAUAUCGACGGCGGUGUUUGGCACCUCGAUGUCGGCUCAUCACAUCCUGGGGCUGAAGUAGGUCCCAAGGGUAUGGCUGUUCGCCAUUUAAAGUGGUACGCGAGCUGGGUUUAGAACGUCGUGAGACAGUUCGGUCCCUAUCUGCCGUGGGCGCUGGAGAAUUGAGGGGGGCUGCUCCUAGUACGAGAGGACCGGAGUGGACGCAUCACUGGUGUUCGGGUUGUCAUGCCAAUGGCACUGCCCGGUAGCUAAAUGCGGAAGAGAUAAGUGCUGAAAGCAUCUAAGCACGAAACUUGCCCCGAGAUGAGUUCUCCCUGAGACUUUAAGUCUCCUGAAGGAACGUUGAAGACGACGACGUUGAUAGGUCGGGUGUGUAAGCGCAGCGAUGCGUUGAGCUAACCGAUACUAAUGAACCGUGAGGCUUAACCUU